CUGAGACUAUAAAAGAGAGUGACAUGCUGUCUAUUCACAAUUAAUUUGAGGAAAUAGGACAUGGAUAAUGAGGGAACGCAGGUGAAGUAUCAGACAAGAAGACCAGGUCAUGAAUUCUACGGGCAUCAGAGGAGGAAGGUAUCUUUGGUGACUGAGAAAGUCAAGGAAGGAAAAAUCACCAGGCCAUGUAGCAUGGGCAGAACUGAGAUUAACAAUGAGAACUGGAAAAGGAAUUUUAAUUUUCAGCUACAGGUGAAGUCUAUGGCUUUCUUUAUAAUGCAAAACUUCCAAAUGAAGUCACCCCAAACACACUGAGUUAUCAUUUUCAAAUAUAUUUUAAUGAGUAUUAAAUGGAUCCACCCUUCAUGCAUUCUGAGCAAUGCAUUCUUUAAAGUAAAAGAUAUGUGAACAUCUUGUUGUUUUUCUCAUUAUAAAAUGUCUAAUUUCCUAUAAGAAUCAGGUUGUUAUUUCUGAGAUCGAGAAAAGUAAAUAUGGAAAAACUGCAGAAAAAAACAAAAAAGACAAUUCUAAUAUUGCAAAGAGAGAGCUGGAUUCUUUAGGAAUAGUAAUUGUGUUAAGAUUGUGAGAUUUACACUUGUUAAACUUCAUGCUAAUCUGUCUUUGCUAGAUUAGUGUCUUCAAGGGGGUCCACUAAACACACUCUCUUUCCUGCCUGGAUUCUGAAUCAACUGGACAGUAAGGCAGGGAAUAAGGUUGAUAAAAACCAUAAUAUGACCUUUAUUACUGAGAGCUGGGUUGGAAGAUACAGUGUAUAUGUGCAGGCAAAGGUGAUACUGAGCUCUAGAAUUAAAACCCCCAGAUGGGCAGAAAGAGCCUGUGCUCCCCAAAAGGGCGUUUCCAUCCCAUUGUGUCUCAGCAGGCUUUAUUAUUUUGAGUAACUGGGAAAUUAAAACCAAGACUUUGAGUUCUCUGAUAUGAAGAAGCUAAGUCCUGCUCUCUGCCUACAGUUCACUCAAUAGGAAUAGAGUGCAGCUGAGUGAAGCCUGCCCAGUUCUUUCUUCCACUGUAACAGGUAUUUUGAUCUGUCUCCCAGGGGCAGUGAUUCUGGUGUCAAACUUGAGCACCAUAAGGAAAGGAAAGUGAAGUCACUCAGUUGUGUCUGACUCUUUGCGACCCCAGGGAUAGUAGCCUACCACACUCUUCUGUCCAUGGGGUUUUCCAGUCUUCUUGCAUGGAGAAUCCCAUAGACAGAGGAGCCUAAUGGGCUCCCAUCCAUGGGGUUACAAAGAGUUGGACAUGACUGAAGCAAUUUAGUACAGGCACGCUUGCACAGCAUUAUUGACUUGCAUUUCUGACAGCUGCCCAGGUGAUGCUGAUGCUGCUGGUUGGUGGGGGAGGGGAGGAGGCUGCACUGCACUUUGAGACCCACUGGCACAGAAAGUGGUAAACAGCAUCCCAUUCUAACAGGGUUGGGCACAGAGGCUGACACGUUUGUUGUAUUGAAUAUUGUUGAUUGAAUAUCAAUAUGUUGCUUGAUUCCAUGCCAACUAACAUAUGAAAAUAACUUUUGAAAAAAUUUUUAUAAGUUGAAUUUCCA
ensembl:lncRNA